GUCGUCCGUGAGGGGCUGGUGCGCUGUUUUGUGUUUAUUUUGGACUAUUAAAGUUUCGUUUUGAUUGUCCGCCAGUUCCCGCCUUCCUCUUCCGGAUGAAUAUAAAGGUUUUAUUAUUACACUACUAUUUCACUGUUGACUGGUUACUUGACAUUUGCCAGUAAGCUAUUGUCAGGCUACAUAAAAGUAGGCUACAUUACCAGGACAAUUUGUAUGUAGUGUAUAUGGUGUGUUUAUUCAAUUGUACUAGAGUUGAACUAGACUCAAUAGGAUUCUCAGGGUUAUAAUAAAAGGCAGGCUUUUUGCAAAAGUUUUGCUUAUGAAAAUCUAAUAAUGUUUUCUUUGUCUAGGCGAUGGUUCUCGCUACUCUUGCGGAACAUACACUUCCUUUUACAUUUGCACCAGUGAUGGUGAAGCUGGCCCAAACGCUGGCUACAGAUAAAGUAUAAAGAUAAAGUAGCUCUGAGUGGGUUGAAGCUGUCACGCACAGCAGCAGCAUACAAAAUGUUGGCGUACUUCAGAGAGAUAUGCGAGUUCAUGGGCCUUCAUGGUUCCGCUCCCAAAAGGUUCAUUCAGCAUCGCUGGCUAUCGGCUUAUGAUGUUGCCAUUGGCACCCAGAGGCUGCUUCCUGCCUACAAGGUUCUUUACUAUGGCUUUAUGGGCAGGGAAGACAAGGCCCUCUACAAGGAGCCCUUGAGUCAGCUUUUUGCCAAUUACAAAGUGAGCGAAAAGGCACAGAGACAGAUUCAAUGCUUUCAUGAGGACCUCGGCAAAAAAGGGCAGUCAGACACUUGUUCAUAAACUGCAUGAAAAACAGCUUCAAGUCUUUACCAACUUCCUUGCCUGCUUCAAAUCUGAGCACCUGAACCUGAUGUCCAAAACUCUGGCUACAAACUGCUGCCUGUGAGGGAGAUGUAUGUGGGGCAGAAGGCUAAUCAGUUCAGAGUGGCACAUCCACAACGCCCUCUGCUGAAGCCAUUCCUGGAAGAAGUCUCCCAGGCAUACAUCACAUGUCUACAUCACUGCAGAGCAAGACCCUCCAGUGUUUGUCGGCCAUGGACCCAAUACUGAGAGGGCACUCUCAAACUGGGUCUGAACUGAGGAAACUCACUGCAAUGAUGGAUCACCUGCUGCCUGAUGUUGACACACACCAGGAAAUUCUCCAGUACAACGUAGAUCAGUCCCUGCCCAGCUUCCAAGAUGGAGAUGAUGUUGUGAGGUGGUGGGCCUGUGUCGACGAUACUGGAAAAUAUCCAGGCCUGUGUCAAGCAGUGAAAGCUGCAAUGUCAAUAUUCCAUGGCCCAUUAGUUGAAUCUUCUUUUAAUAUUAUUGACAAGAAAAGUACAAGCUUUAACACCAUUCAGCGCUAUCCAGACUGUCAAAUAUACUCUACAGAGCAGAAAGCUGAGUGCUGUGGAUAUGUUCAGCCGAGAUGAUUCAAAAUUUGAGCCAGUAGAUAGAAGGCUGUGUGGGAACAUCAUUUCGGCUGGAACCAGGGAGGCAGCAAAAGCAGCUGAAAGUCAGUGAAAGGAGCAUGGAUUUUGGCUGCCAGCCAUCCACUAGUGCUGCUGUAAAAAGGGCAGAAGUGGUGGAGGAAGAAAGUGUGGCCCGAAACAGGCACAUGGCAAAACAGAGAAAACGGGCCCUUGAAAGGCUUGCCCAGGCCAAAAUAGUAAAAAAAUAUAUAUUUUUUUUACUCCCCACUAGACCAGCUGGAGUAUUGUUGUUUACAGUUUUACAGUAUUACAUUUGUUUUAUGUUCAGUGGUGUUAAUAAAUGUUUCGUUUUUUUUAUCUGAAGAAAGAAAGUCAUACAAUAUGAGGGAGAGUAAAUGAGUAUAACUUUAAUGGGCCAGAUGUGAUGCAAAGGUCAGAAGCAUGCAGAAAGAAUACAAUAAUGUGUGUUGAAUUAAUGAUGAGUGACAGAAUUUAAACAUACAAUGCUGACAUUUGAAGAAAGUGUUGUGUUGUGUAUUCAAUGCCCAUGUCUGAAACAAUAAUUGACUUUUAAAGUCGGCAUGAAACGGAAGUAGCGAUUGUCCUUAUUUCUCUACUGUGACGUCUAUCUGAGUGAAACAGUUAAUUUAACAUACAAUUUUACAAUUAAUUUAACAUACAGUGUUCAUUUAAAAAUUUUUUGGAGAAUUGUAAUAUUUCAUUUGAAAAAUGAGGGGGCAUGGCUAUCAAAUUAUUAAUUGUGUAAAUUCUUAUCACUUUUUUGUUCACUCAAUAUUUUGAAUUCAGCCAUGAUACUACAUAGACAGCUAAUGGUUAUAUCAAAAAGUGCAAAAGUAAUGAAUAAACUUUUUUUUGGAAUAAGCAACUAUUCUACUUCAAUAUGCUUCAUCAGAUUCAUGAAGACAAACCUCAUCGGUUCUCACAGGCCAAGCAGAGUCCUGUUUACCAUAUUUAACAGGUGUAAGAUGGUAGAAAAUGAAAUGCCAGUUUAAAUUUACUCUGUACUUAGUACAUUAAAUACAAAUCACCCAAAGUAAUAAAUUCGGUGAUUAAGUCGAAUUUAUUUUAUACCUUUGGGCAUGCUUCAAAAAUAUCAAACACUCCUGUAGUGAUUAACAUUUUAAGAAGGAUCAAAUGAGACUGAAAACCAACCUGUUUGUUCCUCAUUAUCUUCAUGUUUGACACUGAAGGUUUCUUCACAUCUUCAUUCUCUUCUUUAAUAAACGGCAUCUUUAUA